rnacentral:pre_miRNA from 1 species
AUUUCCAGAAAAUCGACGGACAGUGUCCUUUAGUCUGUCGCUUUUCUGAGAUUUU